CUACCAAUAGUUUGUUUGAUUUUGACAAUUUUAUUAAUUUUAAGAAUUAUAUACAUGUAAAUUUUUGUCUAUUUGAUAUGUUUUGUUGGCAGUAUUUAAUUUUAAAUAUAAAGGUUAUUUUGAUUUGGAAAUUUUUUUUUUAAUAUUGUAAAUGUUUGUGCCAGCAUACGCGGUUAUACAAUAAAUAUAAAUUAAUAUUUUUGGUUUUUGAAGUUAAUUAUUUUUUUUUUGAAUUUAAUAUUUUAAUUUUUGGGUGGAAUUUUAUUUUUAAUUAUAUUUAUUUAUUUUUCUUUGAAAUUUAUUAUUAGACUAGGAUUAGAUACCCUAUUAUUUUAAAUUUAAAUAUUUGACCAGGGUAGUGUUAGUUAUGUUCUUUAAACCUAAAGAAUUUGGCGGUGUUUUAGUCUAUUUAGAGGAAUUUGCCCUUUAAUCGAUAAUCCUCGUUUUAUCUUACUUUAUUUUGUUUUCAGUAUGUAUAUCGCCGUUAUAAGUUUAUUUUAUUAGAAUUUUAAUUUACUUUAAUCAUUAUUUUGAUUUAUUUCAGGUCAAGGUGCAGUUUAUAAUAAAGUAGAGGUGAAUUACAAUAUUUAUUUUGAUUAAACGGAUUUAUUUUUUAAAAAUUUUAUGAAGGUGGAUUUAAUAGUAAUUUUUAUUAUAAUAUUAUUUUGAUUUUAGCUCUAAGAUGAGUACAUAUCGCCCGUCACUCUCAAUUUUAUUUGAGAUAAGUCGUAACAUAGUAGGUGUACUGGAAAGUGUACCUAGAAUAAUUUUAUUAUUUUU
rnacentral:ncRNA from 1 species